rnacentral:sRNA from 1 species
UGGAGCUUAAUUGAUGACUUACAUUGCUCGUUUCAACGGUCUACUACUACUAAACGCAUCUUCGUUGCGCGGUAGACUGGUGGACGACAUUCAGCAUUAAGUCAGCUCCAGUUAAGACAAAAAACCCGCGCCGUUGCGCGGGUUUUUUU